rnacentral:lncRNA from 10 species
AGAGAUGCUAAAAUGAAGACAAAGCUGCCAUGGAUUUAAAUCAUUUGGGAAGACAGACUCAUCCAGAUCCUAAAGGAAGUUUUACUAAAACAGCUCUAAGGGUCAAAUGGAAAGGAGAUCAUUCUCCAGAAGGCAGUUGACCGUGUCCCGGUGUUGUGUUCAACCUUAUAGUCUUAGGUUAUCUGGAAGCACGAUCUUCCCAUUGAAAAAGAAAAGGAGAACUCAGCUUUUCACAUAUACAUGUAGUGAUCCUUGACCAAUGUCGAUUCCCAGAUACACAAAUCUUCCGCACAAGCCCCAAGCACCCUGCUCAUUUUUCAGAGUUGAGCAUCUAUUUGUGGAACAUAUGUGAGCAGCCACUGGAAAUUUUCCAUUCUUUUGAAGACAGCCAAACAUUCAUUCCAGGACUAUACAUAUUUUUUAUUGUGAAAAAUGACUUGAAAAAUGCUCUUAGAGACUAAGUUUUUAAAAAUAUUCUGUUCUGUUACGCUUUCUUUCCUUUUCUUUUUUUUUCUGGGCAGAAAGAAAUACAAAGAAGCCUAAUUUAAAAGUAUGUUUAAUUCAGAGAAUAGGAAACUUUCUUUCUUAGCCUACUUUUGAGUAUUUCUGUCACAAGUGUAUUCUCAGUUCAGCUCUGAAGGAGUCAAUUUAAUUGGACUUGACCAACUGCUAGUGCCACUUAGCAGAUGCUGUAGUAGUUUUUUUAUUGUGUGAUCGCCCCAGCAUAUUUAUGGUUUUAGGUUAUGGAUUUUUAAAUUGUUAAAUUCUUACCCAGACUCACCAUGUUAACCUAUGCUCCAUCUGUAAGAGUAAGACCUCAACUCCUUGAAGAGAUAGGUAGAGAGAGAAAGAGGAAAAAAAUCCAGUAUCUUAUUGGAACCAGAAGACUGAAAGAGAAACGUGCUCCUAUAGAGUCAUCUUGAGAAGCAUGACUCAAAUUUAAAAUGGAGCAUUACAGUCCAGAGAAGUGUAGUAGGAAUGCCACCUUUACAGCAAUUUUCCAGCUUUAUAUUAAAUAAAUAAAUAAAUAAAUAAAUAAAUAAAUAAAUAAAUAAAUGGCUGGGUCUGCUGAAGUUUUUCACAUAUAAUGUAUAUGUAGAAAAUUGUAGCAUUCUAUUUACCUUGAUUUUGGAGCCCUCAAAGUAACCUGUGGAAUUUUUUGAAAUCACACUUUCACUGUAGCCUAUGGAAAGUUUAUACAGGCAUAUGUCACUUUUAGAGUUGCAGAGCUUUGUGCUCCGUCUGCUCAGCAGAAGCAGUAGAGGUUUUAUUACUGUCGAAUCCUAGCAGUAUAUUAUUUAAAAUGAAAACAAGCAAAAACAAACAAGCAGAAUUCUUCCUCAUCACACUGCUCAUAGUUUUCUACCUGCUAUACUGUUUCUUCCUUCCAUGAUUUUGCUAAUGCUCUUCUAUCUUCAUCUCUUUUUCCUGUGGUGAAUCCCAACUGAGGCCAUAAAGUUCAAUUCAAACAUUAUCUACUCCAGGAAGCCUGUUGUGCCCACCCCUCAACAAAAGAUUGAAUGAAUAAAUAGCAAGACUCCCCUCCCCAAAUUCUAUUUUCACAGAGUUUAAAAAGAAUAGUAUCCUUCAUGCAAAGAAUAUUCUACUGGCAUGUAAUUUAAACACCACUAUU